GGGGGUGUAAGGUUUCGACAGAUUUUCUAGACAUACAAUAAGCAAGUAGUGGAUUCUCGUUGGCCACUAUAAAAACGAGAAAUUAAAAUUAAACGCAGAAGAUAGAAAUUUUGCAUAUGCUGCUUAAGUUAUAGCGGCUUGUCAGAUAUGUUUUUGCUAGAGGGAUAUAUUUGGCAUCAAUUGAUCUAGCUUAACGAAAUUAUCUUUGGCUUUUAGAUAAUGGGUAUUUUAUAAAGCUAAAUUAUAUUAUGUUUUUUGUAAAUUUUAGAUUAAUAUAAUUUUAAAUUAAAAAUUUACUGAACUUGGAGAAAGUUGUAUAAUGGAAUUUUUGGACGUGAGUUCGAUUCUCACCACCUCCACCA
rnacentral:tmRNA from 1 species